GAGAAGUGAGACCCACCUCUCGUGGAAUUACGCUUGACAUUUUACGAGUUUCUCUGGAAAGAUAUGUGGGUGGAAAUACACGGGUAGAAUCCUAGGGAAAUCCACACUGGGGAUGGAAGUGUAUAUAUUCACACAGCUUCGUACCCAAGGACACACUCUCCAGCUUCUAGAAAGACAGCAGGACAGAAGAAAGCUCCAGACCUUGCGAAGAAGCCAACCAUGGGCAAUCUGAAGACCGCAUUCCUGAUCGCCCUCAUCCUGACUCUCUCUUAUCAAUACACAGAAGGUGAGCACGUGGCACUUUCCUCUUAUUAUGUAUAUGUGUGUGCUUGCUAUAAUAGUUAAGAACUAUAAAGCCCCAGAGUCUUUUGCACUGGGGAAACCCAGCAGAUCGCAGGCUGAGGUCCUGGCAUCUCCAGUUAAAGAAUCUCAGCUAUCAGAUUCUUGGCAAGCUGGUGUUGAAUGGUGGCUUAGUGCUCAUACAUUGGUGUGCAUGAGUGCUAGAGAAGGAGAAGGGACCUCUGUCUCAUAGAGCUGCAGUGAGCAACAGAGUAGACCAUGCCCCAGCUAGGGUCAAACAUGCAGGUGGUGUUUGCCAACUGAUUAGAGGCAGGAGGGAUCAGUGCAUUGCUAACAGCACUCAAUGGAAAGAUGGAGCUUUUCACAGCAUGGAGGUGAACAUGGUCACCUGCCGUCAAGUGUCCAUGAAGCAUCUGUUAAAUUUUAGCACAGCAACAGGGACUGCAAAGCCAGCAACCUCAAGUGUAACUGAAUCAGCGCUCCUCCUAACUGCUUCCUCUCCAACGUGCUGUGUGUAUAGAAAAUGCCUUUAGGAGGUUUGCUUUGGUAGCUCACAGCACGCCUGUUUCAUCUUGCACUUCCUGGCUAACAUUCCAGUAUCAAAGUGACUCUGCUACCAGACAGCUAUCCUCUGUCCUUAGAAGGAAAGCACCUCUGAAUAUGCAAAGAAGAAUUGCUGAGUAGACAUGCAUGAGAUCAGGCUACGUGCCUCAAUGACAGUAAAUAUGAGUGUUGUGUUAUAAUAAUGGUCAAAAUAAUGUCCCUCUCUUCUUUCCUCUUCCCCCACCACCUUCAGCACUGCGUCCUCGGAUUCCGUCAGACUGUUGUGAGGGAUAUAGGAUGGGAGGACAAAUUCCCCGCAACAGAGUGCAGAAUUACUACAGGACUCCCAGUGAUUGCCGCUUGGAUGCUGUUGUGUGAGUACAGAACGCCACUCCCCAAUUAUGUGUUCUCCUAACAUUCAAAUAAGGACACCUAGGUGGCCUUGACUGGGAUGAGGGUGUCAGAAAAAUCAUUUCUCAUUCCAUUAAAUGGCAUUUCAUGAAGUUUCUCAAAUUUGUGUUGAGCUGCAGUCGGAGCAUUUGUUGAACCAUUUGUGAUGAGACCAGGCAAGGGGAGGUUUGGGGGAAAAUAACAAGUAAAAAGCAGCCUCUGAGAGUUCCAGAGGUUCCUCUGAGCUGCUUUUCUAGGACUUGAUGGGAAGAGUUGGCCCCAGUGAAAGGAUGGACAAAUCUGUCAAUUUCAGAGAGAGACAGAGAGAGAGAGAGAGAGAGAGAGAGAGAGAGAGAGAGAGAUGAACAAGGGUUUGGGGGCAGGGGAGAAGGUAAGAGUUGGAGAGGAAGAACAGCCAAAACACAGAGAAAAGGAGGAUAAGCACUGCUGUCCCCACAAUGGAUAAAAGUGGGUCCACCUGCCUCCAUAUGUACCCCCUCUGUCAACUAUUGCAAGGAUGAGGAACCUCAACCCAAGGUUCAAGUGCAACCCUCCAGGCCUCUUUCUCCAGCCCUCAGGACAUUUCCUAAACCAAGGCCCUCUCCAGCCCCACUUUGCAUCUUCUUUGUGUCUGGAAUGAACUUGCCAUUGAACAGGGACCAGGCUUCUUGAAUGCCUGGAUGGAGGAUGGGACCAUGUGUGGAAAUCUCUGGCUGUGGAGAAAGAGCCUUCUCAGUGGUGGGGUUGGUGGCUUCCCCCCAGGAAAGUGCCUGUUUUUGUGCCAUUUCAAUGCUUGGCAAAUACCUUUAGGGGUGUUUCUUUUAAAAAGAUUUCCCAGGCUUUUAAACCAUUUGCUUCAGUUUCUUUUUCAGUACUGCUCUUUUAGGUUCUGCUGCUGUUAGUAUCACGGUGGCCUGCUUUAAUUGUGUCCCCCAGCCAUCCCACUGUGUUUCCACCUGCCCUGUCCUGUCACUGUGCCCCCUGAUCUGGCCUGCUGCUUCAGGUGUCGUGGAAGAUACUAUCCCAUUUUUGUUCAAAUAGGAUUCAAUUGUAAUGAAAAAAUGCAGUUUGUUCUGUUAUGUAAAUUGAUGUUGCUUUGUUCUGUUGUUUAUAUAUGUCAUUUUGUUAUUAUAUAAAAAUGACAAAAAAUUAAUGGAUUAAACAGCGGCCAGUCAGUGGGGAACAGGUGACAUUUUGCGCACUUCAGGAAGUGAAAUCACAUCUAGGGCUGGCCCUGCGGAUUCCUGCACUUCCAGCAGCUAGUAGAUCUACAGAAGAGGAAGGGAAAUAUGAUUACAGGAGGCAUACGCCAAGAGAUCGUUUCUAAACCAAGUUAUUUUGCCUUUUCUCUACAGGUUUGUUACAAAGAUCGGUAGGCGUGUCUGUUCUAAUCCCAGGAUGUCAUGGGUGAAAAAAUUAAUGUCACAGCUGAGAGAAAUUAAACCAUAAUUUUGGAGAACCAAAGGAAGAACCUCCGCUGAACAGGAAGGAAGACAAAGAGCCACUAUCCUCCUUUCCAGUUUCUCUGCUUCCUUCUGCUUUUUUGCCACUCACAAGCAAACAUCUAUAAGCAUUUAAACAGCACUGAAAACAGUGUAGCUGUGGCCACUUAUGCACUGUCAGAAAUGCAACGUCAAAGAAGAGGAUACCAAUUUGCAUAAUGAAUAUGUAAGAUAUAACUGUUAUAGUUUAACUAGAAAUACAACGCAUCUCACCAUUGUGGGGCAGGCUGUGAUCUAGGUGGUAAUUGGGGAUGGGCAACUACAAGGCCUCUGCUCCUUUCUUUUUUAAAGGUUCUUUUAGAGUCUUCUGAGGAACGGUAGUAUAUAAAUGUAAUAAAUAAUAAUAAUAAUCUUUAACUGGAAUAGGUUUAAGGAGAUGUAUCUCCUCCAACAACCCUUCAAAUAUAGAAGGGCCCAUCAGAUUACAUAUAUAGGCUAGUUAAUGCUAUAUGUUUCCCAAUCUCCUCCCAAAAAUCCAGGAAUUGUAGUUUGUGGCCUACUAAGAAAUGCCUCACUCAUUUCCCAGAAUUGCUUGGGCUGGAAACCACAAUCAUCAGACCAUGGUCAACACUGCUUUAAAACUGAACUGCAGACACAGACAUAGUCAUGGAAGGAGCAGAAUAACGGCAGAGUCUUUGGGGGUCCCUUCUCCACCAUUUGCACUGUGGCCUUUCUGAAUUCAUUCAUAAAAUUAGCUAACACCAGAUUAUGUAUGAAACCAUCAAUAGUAACUGGCAAGCAAGCUGUAUUUACAACCGUCAUAUAUACUCAAUGCUGCUGCCAUCACUGGGCUAUUCGUGCCUCCUUGCUUCCUUGGCCCUUCCUGGCUUCCUCCCUUCCCCCAUUUCUUCCCUGCAAGUACCUGCAGGGUCCAAAGCACCUCUCAAAGAGGGUCUUUCCCCCUCCUACUCCUGCUGCUGCUACAGAAAUUAAGCUGAAGACUUCUUGGAGCAGGACCUUUUCCAUGCUUGGCAAAGUCCCUCCUGAAGGAAGCCUGGCAACAGCCUCAGUCAAGAAGACCUUUUGUUCUGUUAGGCUGCAAUUCUUCCUGCUGACUGACAUUAGCUUAAACUUUCCUAUGUUUAUGGAAGUUUGAAAGAAGAAAGAUGGAAUAUAAGCUUAAAAUAAUAAAGAUUUUUUUUCAAUUUA
rnacentral:lncRNA from 1 species